GCUGGGUGAGGUGGUGGGCACCUGUAAUCCCAGCUACUCGGGAGGCUGAGGCAGAAGAAUUGCUUGAACCCAGGAGAACGGUGGUUGCAGUGAGUCGAGAUCAUGCCGCUGCACUCCAGCCUGGGUGACAGAGUGAGACUUUGUCUCUG
ensembl:misc_RNA Metazoa_SRP Metazoan signal recognition particle RNA